CUCGCAAGGAGGAAACUCAAAGGAAUUGACGGGACUCCGCACAAGCGGUGGAUCAUGUUGUUUAAUUCGAAGGUACCCGAAAAACCUCACCAGGUCUUGACAUGCUUCUGCAAAGCUGUAGAAACACAGUGGAGGUUAUCAGUUGCACAGGUGGUGCAUGGUUGUCGUCAGCUCGUGUCGUGAGAUGUUGGGUUAAGUCCCGCAACGAGCGCAACCCUUAUUGUUAGUUACCAGCACGUAAUGGUGGGGACUUUAGCAAGACUGCCAGUGAUGAAUUGGAGGAAGGUGGGGACGACGUCAAAUCAUCAUGCCCCUAUGACCUGCUACAA
rnacentral:rRNA from 1 species